rnacentral:lncRNA from 1 species
AGGAAGAGAUUGCCAAGAACCUGAAGAAGUACAGCAAGAAGUAUGAAGCAGAGGACCAGGAUAUGUCCUUGCAAUUGAGCGAGCAAGAUAGGAAGAAGAGGAAGAUGUUGCAGGAGGAAUGGGAGGCAUGGGUGGGCAAGUGGAAGCAGUUGCAUGAGGAAGAUAGGGAACUGAGGGUACAGUUGAGGGAGGGGGAGGCCAGCGAUGAGGAGGAAGAAUAUGAAGCCAAAGAGGUGGAAGUUGAGGAGGUGUUAGAAGUUCAAGAAGAG